rnacentral:rRNA from 1 species
UGGGGAAUUUUGGACAAUGGGCGAAAGCCUGAUCCAGCAAUGCCGCGUGUGUGAAGAAGGCCUUCGGGUUGUAAAGCACUUUUGUCCGGAAAGAAAUCCUUGGCUCUAAUGCAGUCGGGGGAUGACGGUACCGGAAGAAUAAGCACCGGCUAACUACGUGCCAGCAGCCGCGGUAAUACGUAGGGUGCAAGCGUUAAUCGGAAUUACUGGGCGUAAAGCGUGCGCAGGCGGUUUGCUAAGACCGAUGUGAAAUCCCCGGGCUCAACCUGGGAACUGCAUUGGUGACUGGCAGGCUAGAGUAUGGCAGAGGGGGGUAGAAUUCCACGUGUAGCAGUGAAAUGCGUAGAGAUGUGGAGGAAUACCGAUGGCGAAGGCAGCCCCCUGGGCCAAUACUGACGCUCAUGCACGAAAGCGUGGGGAGCAAACAGGAUUAGAUACCCUGGUAGUCCACGCCCUAAACGAUGUCAACUAGUUGUUGGGGGAUUCAUUUCCUUAGUAACGUAGCUAACGCGUGAAGUUGACCGCCUGGGGAGUACGGUCGCAAGAUUAAAACUCAAAGGAAUUGACGGGGUCAUAGCUGUUUCCU